rnacentral:rRNA from 1 species
GACGGGGCCCGCACAAGCGGAGGAGCAUGUUGGUUUAAUUCGAUGAUACGCGAGGAACCUUACCUGGGCUCGAACGUAAGAUGACUGUAGGUGAAAGCUUACAUCUCUUCGGAGCAUUUUUACGAGGUGCUGCAUGGUUGUCGUCAGCUCGUGCCGUGAGGUGUCGGGUUAAGUCCCAUAACGAGCGCAACCCUACCUUUAGUUGCCAUCAGGUAAUGCUGGGGACUCUAAAGGAACUGCCUACGCAAGUAGUGAGGAAGGCGGGGAUGACGUCAAAUCAGCACGGCCCUUACGUCCAGGGCUACACACGUGCUACAAUGGCCGAUACAGAGGGCAGCUACCUGGUGACAGGAUGCAAAUCUCCAAAGUCGGUCUCAGUUCGGAUCGGAGUCUGCAACCCGACUCCGUGAAGUUGGAUUCGCUAGUAAUCGCGCAUCAGCCAUGGCGCGGUGAAUACGUUCCCGGGCCUU